rnacentral:misc_RNA from 1 species
AACGCACCUUGCGCUCCUUGGUAUUCCGAGGAGCAUGCCUGUUUGAGUGUCAUGAAAUUCUCAACCUCUUCUUGCUUUGCGGCUUGAAGUAGGCUUGGAUUUGGGAGCUGCUGGUUUAACGAUCGGCUCUCCUUGAAUGCAUUAGCUGGACUUUCCGAUUUAAUAGCGGUUUCACGGUGUGAUAACUAUCUACGCCUGGUAAAUCCUAUUAGGUCUGUCUGGUCGAGCUUCUAACCAGUUCGUCCUUUGCUGGACAAACACUUUUAAGAUCUGACCUCAAAUCAGGUAGGACUACCCGCUGAACUUAA